rnacentral:rRNA from 1 species
GAAUAUUGGACAAUGGGCGGGAGCCUGAUCCAGCCAUGCCGCGUGCAGGAAGACUGCCCUAUGGGUUGUAAACUGCUUUUAUACGGGAAGAAACACCCCCACGGGUGGGGGUUUGACGGUGCCGUAAGAAUAAGGACCGGCUAACUCCGUGCCAGCAGCCGCGGUAAUACGGAGGGUCCGAGCGUUAUCCGGAAUCAUUGGGUUUAAAGGGUCCGUAGGCGGGCAGCUAAGUCAGUGGUGAAAGUCUGUGGCUCAACCAUAGAAUUGCCAUUGAUACUGGUUGUCUUGAAUCAAUGUGAAGUGGUUAGAAUGAGUAGUGUAGCGGUGAAAUGCAUAGAUAUUACUCAGAAUACCGAUUGCGAAGGCAGAUCACUAACAUUGUAUUGACGCUGAGGGACGAAAGCGUGGGGAGCGAACAGG